rnacentral:rRNA from 1 species
UACGGGGGGGGCAGCGUUCUUCGGAAUUAUUGGGCGUAAAGAGCUCGUAGGCGGCCUGUCGCGUCGGAUGUGAAAGCCCGGGGCUUAACCCCGGGUCUGCAUUCGAUACGGGCAGGCUAGAGUGUGGUAGGGGAGAUCGGAAUUCCUGGUGUAGCGGUGAAAUGCGCAGAUAUCAGGAGGAACACCGGUGGCGAAGGCGGAUCUCUGGGCCAUUACUGACGCUGAGGAGCGAAAGCGUGGGGAGCGAACAGG